rnacentral:sRNA from 1 species
CCAGAUCGGGUUGGCCCUGUCAUGUAUCUGUGUUCCCAGCGCAUGCGCAUUAGAGGGGAAAAGCGUUGCACCACCUUGGGCUAAGGACAACUCUGAUGGAGACGCCGCUGGAAAGGGAGGGAAUUCAUCCAAACAGGGGAAAUGGGCUAGGGUGUGACAUUUAGGAAUUGUUUUCUGAGAGAAGAUGAGUGUGCCAGAUAAACGGUUUGUUUGUUUCUCCUCUGCCCUCUCUACUUCUCCAUGUUCUUCUCUGGGGAAUAUUGAAUGAGGAGUCCUGAGCCUCGGAGUCAAGAUGAAGUAACAGAGCUGCAUCGAGAGUGUUUUGACAGCAAUCUGCCUGAAUGAGAAAGUUGGUUUAUUGGGGCUUACUAAAAUCCUGAUCAAAGUUUCUUAUCACAUGGCAACAAUGGCAUCCUGUCAUUGCGGAGACAACCUUCCAUGUUAGGCG